rnacentral:rRNA from 1 species
UACAGAGGUCUCAAGCGUUGUUCGGAUUCACUGGGCGUAAAGGGUGCGUAGGCGGUCGGGUAAGUCUGACGUGAAAUCUCCGGGCCUAACCCGGAAACUGCGUCGGAUACUAUCCGGCUAGAGGAUUGGAAGGGAGACUGGAAUACUUGGUGUAGCAGUGAAAUGCGUAGAUAUCAAGUGGAACACCAGUGGCGAAGGCGAGUCUCUGGACAAUUCCUGACGCUGAGGCACGAAAGCCAGGGGAGCAAACGGG